UCUCAGAUCAACUCUCAAAAUGAGGUUACCUGCUCAGUUUCUGGGUCUGCUGAUGUUCUGCAUCCCAGGAUCCAGCAGUGACAUUGUGCUGACCCAGAGUCCACUCUCCCUGUCCAUCGUCAAGGGAGAGCCAACCUCCAUCUCCUGCACGUCUAGUGAGAGCCUCCUAUAUAGUGAUGGAACAACUUAUUUGUAUUGGUUCCAUCAGAAGCCAGGCCAUCCUCCAAAGCGCCUGUUUUAUCAUGUUUCUAAAAGAGACCCUGGGGUCCCAGACAGGUUCAGUAGCAGUGGGUCAGAGACAAAAUUCACUCUUCAGAUUAGCAGUGUGGAGCCUGAGGAUGUUGGCGUUUACUACUGCUUCCAAGGUACAAAGACUCCUCACACAGUGAUACAGCCCCGAACAUAA